UAAACACCCUUGUUCAUAAAUCAGAAAAGGAGACAUUGUUUACAUCAAAGUCCCAUGCACAACAAAGGUGCUGGGUCUGUAAAGAGACCUAGAAACCUCGAAGAAACACCAGCUCUGAGGUUCAAGAACUGGAGCCCCCUGGACUGUGCAGUUUUGAAAAUGGAGAAAUGGUUCAGAUGGAAGAGUGCCACCUACAGGUACACAAGCAUUAUUUACAGCAGGAGCACGAUUUUCCUCAGAGACUAAAGCUGUUGACAAUUUAAAGAGGAAGAAAAAGCUGCUGGAUUCCAGAUGCCAAGGUCUCGAGUGGGAAACUUCUGAACUAUGGGAGUAGAUUAUGAUUUGCAAGGAAUGCAAUUAUACUGCACUGGCCACAGCUGCGUGGGGUGCUCAAGAGUACUAGCAGUCCAUGUGGGA